rnacentral:rRNA from 1 species
CUCAUCUAAAUCAUUGAAAUGGUAUUUAAGAUAACGUAAGGGAUAAAAAUGAUAUUACCUUACUAUAAGUGUUGUCCAACAUUACUGGUGCCAGAAGACUCGGUAACGCCAGAAACGCAAACGUUAGUCGUCUUAAUCAGGCGUAAAGGGUAAGUAGGCUGCUUUAAAAGUUUUUAAAUUAAAAAGCUCUUUAAAACCUAAAGUAGCAAAAAAUUUUGCUGCUUCUAGAAAAGUAAUUUAAAAUUGAAUUAAAGCUAGAAUCAAACAUAGGAUAAUCUAAAUAAUAUUUAGAGUAAGGCUGAUAUCUUUAGAUACUAAAUGGAAUACUAAAGGUGAAAACUUUUAUCUAGUACUGAUUGACGCUGAGGAACGAAGGUGAGAAUAGAAAACAGGAUUAGAGACCCAGGUAUCUCUCACUGUCAACGAUGAAUGGUGGUUGUUAGUAUGCAAAAAUACUAGUAACGAUGUUAACGCGAUAACCAUUCCGCCUUGCGAGUACGGUUGCCAAAACUGA